UACGAAGGGGGCUAGCGUUGUUCGGAAUUACUGGGCGUAAAGCGCACGUAGGCGGAUUCUUAAGUCAGGGGUGAAAUCCCGAGGCUCAACCUCGGAACUGCCUUUGAUACUGAGGAUCUUGAGUCCGGGAGAGGUGAGUGGAACUGCGAGUGUAGAGGUGAAAUUCGUAGAUAUUCGCAAGAACACCAGUGGCGAAGGCGGCUCACUGGCCCGGUACUGACGCUGAGGUGCGAAAGCGUGGGGAGCAAACAGG
rnacentral:rRNA from 1 species